rnacentral:ncRNA from 2 species
UACGUAGGGGGCAAGCGUUGUCCGGAAUUAUUGGGCGUAAAGAGCUCGUAGGCGGCUCAGCAAGUCGGCUGUGAAAUCCCGAGGCUCAACCUCGGAACUGCAGUCGAUACUGCUGUGGCUAGAGUCUGGUAGAGGAGAAUGGAAUUCCCGGUGUAGCGGUGAAAUGCGCAGAUAUCGGGAGGAACACCAGUAGCGAAGGCGGUUCUCUGGGCCAGUACUGACGCUGAGGAGCGAAAGCGUGGGGAGCAAACAGG